rnacentral:rRNA from 1 species
AUUGAACGCUGGCGGCAGGCCUAACACAUGCAAGUCGAGCGGAUGAGAGAAGCUUGCUUCUCGAUUCAGCGGCGGACGGGUGAGUAAUGCCUAGGAAUCUGCCUGGUAGUGGGGGACAACGUUUCGAAAGGAACGCUAAUACCGCAUACGUCCUACGGGAGAAAGCAGGGGAUCUUCGGGCCUUGCGCUAUCAGAUGAGCCUAGGUCGGAUUAGCUAGUUGGGGAGGUAAUGGCUCACCAAGGGGACGAUCCGUAACUGGUCUGAGAGGAUGAUCAGUCACACUGGAACUGAGACACGGUCCAGACUCCUACGGGAGGGAGAAGUGGGGAAUAUUGGACAAUGGGCGAAAGCCUGAUCCAGGCAAGGCGCGUGUGUGAAGAAGGUCUUCGGAUUGUAAAGCACUUUAAGUUGGGAGGAAGGGUUGUAGAUAAAUACUCUGCAAUUUUGACGUUACCGACAGAAUAAGCACCGGCUAACUCUGUGCCAGCCGCCGCAGUAAAAC